rnacentral:rRNA from 1 species
UGGGGAAUAUUGCACAAUGGGCGCAAGCCUGAUGCAGCCAUGCCGCGUGUGUGAAGAAGGCCUUCGGGUUGUAAAGCACUUUCAGCGAGGAGGAAGGUGGUGAGCUUAAUACGCUCAUCAAUUGACGUUACUCGCAGAAGAAGCACCGGCUAACUCCGUGCCAGCAGCCGCGGUAAUACGGAGGGUGCAAGCGUUAAUCGGAAUUACUGGGCGUAAAGCGCACGCAGGCGGUUUGUUAAGUCAGAUGUGAAAUCCCCGGGCUCAACCUGGGAACUGCAUUUGAAACUGGCAAGCUAGAGUCUCGUAGAGGGGGGUAGAAUUCCAGGUGUAGCGGUGAAAUGCGUAGAGAUCUGGAGGAAUACCGGUGGCGAAGGCGGCCCCCCUGGACGAAGACUGACGCUCAGGUGCGAAAGCGUGGGGCAGCAAACAGGAUUAGAUACCCUGGUAGUCCACGCUGUAAACGAUGUCGAUUUGGAGGUUGUGCCCUUGAGGCGUGGCUUCCGGAGCUAACGCGUUAAAUCGACCGCCUGGGGGAGUAC